UUGACCUCGAAUCAGGUAGGAAUACCCGCUGAACUUAAGCAUAUCAAUAAGCGGAGGAAAAGAAACCAACCGGGAUUACCUCAGUAACGGCGAGUGAAGCGGUAACAGCUCAAAUUUGAAAUCUGGCUCUUCCGGAGUCCGAGUUGUAAUUUGUAGAAGAUGCUUUGGGUUGUGGGUUCGGCCUAAGUUCCUUGGAACAGGACGUCAUAGAGGGUGAGAAUCCCGUAUGUGGCCGAGGCCCGCGCCUAUGUAAAGCUCUUUCAACGAGUCGAGUUGUUUGGGAAUGCAGCUCAAAAUGGGUGGUAAAUUUCAUCUAAAGCUAAAUAUGGGCCAGAGACCGAUAGCGCACAAGUAGAGUGAUCGAAAGAUGAAAAGCACUUUGGAAAGAGAGUUAAACAGUACGUGAAAUUGUUGAAAGGGAAGCGCUUGCAACCAGACUUGGGCGCUGUCGAUCACCCCGAGUUCUCUCGAGUGCACUCGACAGCGCACAGGCCAGCAUCGGUUCGGGUGGCUGGAUAAAGGCCGUAGGAACGUGGCUCCCUUCGGGGAGUGUUAUAGCCUACGGUGCCAUGCAGCCCAGCCGGACCGAGGACCGCGCCUUCGGGCUAGGAUGCUGGCGUAAUGGUUGUAAGCGACCCGUCUUGAAACACGGACCAAGGAGUCUAACAUCUAUGCGAGUGUUUGGGUGGUAAACCCAUACACGGAAUGAAAGUGAACGUAGGUGAGAACCCCUUUGGGGCGCAUCAUCGACCGAUCCUGAUGUCUUCGG
rnacentral:rRNA from 1 species